AUUGAACGCUGGCGGCAGGCCUAACACAUGCACGUCGAACGAGUGGCGGACGGGUGAGUAAUGUCUGUGAACAUGCCUGAUGGAGGGGGAUGACUACUGGAAACGGUAGCUAAUACCGCAUACCAUCAGAUGUGCCACGAUGGGCUUGGCUAGUAGGGGGGGUAAUGGCUCACCUAGGCGACGAUCCCUAGCUGGGCUGAGAGGAUGACCCGCAACACUGGAACUGAGACACGGUCCAGACGCCGACGGGAGGCAGCAGUGGGGAAUAUUGCACAAUGGGCGCAAGCCUGAUGCAGCCAUGCCGCGUGUGUGAAGAAGGCCUUCGGGUUGUAAAGCACUUUCAGCGAGGAGGCGUUACGCGCAGAAGAAGCACCGGCUAACUCCGUGCCAGCAGCCGCGGUAAUAC
rnacentral:rRNA from 1 species